rnacentral:lncRNA from 1 species
CAAGUUUUCACCCAAUUUGCAGCAAGGUAACGGUAUAAUACUUUACCUUGAGCAUUAAUUCUGAAAAAAUGGACUCUCUUACUUCCUGUUUUUCAAAAGCAUCGUUGACUAGGGGAACAAUGCAGGGCUCCAGAGGAGGCAGUGGUGUGGGCUUCUAGCUCACUGUGGUGCUGCCAGAGCCAACAUCGUGGUGUCCAGUUAAGCUAACUGUAACAACAGAUGAUGACUGAUUCAAGAAAACAGGGGGCAGAAGCAGGGCAAUGAAGUCUUGGAGUUGUCCCACAGUUGGAGGCUGAUAAGGAAGAGAUUGGGGAUUAUGCCGUGGGGGAGCACAAAUGAGGUAUGUGAUCAAGCCCUUAUAUCAACAAAUUUAGGAGACCAGGCUUACAAUAAAUGGUUACAGGGUGACUUAUUCAGUGCUCAAGUGGGAAGUCUAAACAACAAAUGGGUUUGGAUCUCUGAGGCAGAGACCUGUGGGCAGGCAUACACGCCAUGCAGAGGUCAACUGUGUGGCACUGGAGGUGGUCAGAUGGACCUGGGCUGUGCCACUGCCCAGCAGCUGUGUGCUCUCGGGCAACUUGUCAGGCUUCACUUUCUCUGUCUGUGAAGUGGGAAUAAUAAUACCUGCUCAUAAGCUGGUUGGAGCAUUACAAACAAUAUAGCAGGUCAAGAGCUUAAUACAGUGCCUGGCACACAAUAAGCACUCCAUAAAUGGUUACUGCCAUUCCCAUUACGAAUGCAAUUAUUGUCAUUAUUAUCCAUAAAUAUUUAUGAUGGAGGGCACUGAUUGGGACUGGGGGCACUCUGAAUUCUUUGGAGAGAAUUCAGGGAGGUGUCCUGAGGGCGGUUCUCUCUCAACUCUAGAACAAUGCUGUGGGUUCACCCCAGGCCUUCAAGAGGGAAGAGAGAGAUGUGCAAGGAGGAACUCCACAUUGGUUCUUCUUUUGCUGGUGUUCAUGCCACUUCCCCACUUCCAAACAGGUGCAUAUUACUCCAGAGCACCCUUUCACCUUCCUCUCCCAACUCUUCCGUUCUGUUUUUCUUCUCCUCAACCCUUCUUACUUCUCUUUUCUCCUCAAAACCCCAAGUGGUGGAUGAGUAAGGAAGUAUACUACUUUUUGCAUGUUCUAAGUUUGCCUUUUAGAAACUUGAAAGCUGUCUCCUAAUUCCAGCACUAGGAGUUUACAUAAGUCAUUCUGUGUUCAUCCUACCCAUUCCUUCACUUACUUAAAAAUAUCUAUACCCACAACAAAUGAUAGUCCUCAGUAGACAGGCAAGUAUUCUAGACCAUAAGAGUUCAAUUAAGGAAGGCUCUUUUGAGGUGACUAUAAAUUACAAAAGAAACUCGCAGAGGCGUGAACUGUCCACAGGGCUCAUCUUGGCAACGAAGUGUACUUUCCUGGACUCAGAUGUAGAUCUUCAUGUCAGAAACAUUCUCUGUCUUGCUCGCAUCUGUUCUUUUACUGCUUCAGC